rnacentral:rRNA from 1 species
UCCCAGACUCCUACGGGAGGCAGCAGUGAGGAAUAUUGGUCAAUGGCCGAGAGGCUGAACCAGCCAAGUCGCGUGAGGGAAGACGGUCUUCGGAUUGUAAACCUCUGUCUUUGGGGAAGAAAAUGACGGUACCCAAAGAGGAAGCUCCGGCUAACUACGUGCCAGCAGCCGCGGUAAUACGUAGGGAGCGAGCGUUGUCCGGAAUUACUGGGUGUAAAGGGAGCGUAGGCGGGCGAGAAAGUUGAAUGUUAAAUCUACCGGCUUAACUGGUAGCUGCGUUCAAAACUUCUUGUCUUGAGUGAAGUAGAGGCAGGCGGAAUUCCUAGUGUAGCGGUGAAAUGCGUAGAUAUUAGGAGGAACACCAGUGGCGAAGGCGGCCUGCUGGGCUUUAACUGACGCUGAGGCUCGAAAGCGUGGGGAGCAAACAGGAUUAGAUACCCCUGUAU